CGAAAACGAAUUCUCUCUUGAGUGGAUCCUGAGUACGACGGAGCACGUGAAAUUCCGUCGGAAUCUGGGAGGACCAUCUCCUAAGGCUAAAUACUCUCUAGUGACCGAUAGUGAACCAGUACCGUGAGGGAAAGGUGAAAAGUACCCCGGAAGGGGAGUGAAAGAGAACUUGAAACCGUGUGCUUACAAGUAGUCAGAGCCCGUUAAUGGGUGAUGGCGUGCCUUUUGUAGAAUGAACCGGCGAGUUACGAUCUGAUGCAAGGUUAAGCAGAAAAUGUGGAGCCGUAGCGAAAGCGAGUCUGAAUAGGGCGAAUGAGUAUUUGGUCGUAGACCCGAAACCAGGUGAUCUACCCUUGGUCAGGUUGAAGUUCAGGUAACACUGAAUGGAGGACCGAACCGACUUACGUUGAAAAGUGAGCGGAUGAACUGAGGGUAGCGGAGAAAUUCCAAUCGAACUUGGAGAUAGCUGGUUCUCUCCGAAAUAGCUUUAGGGCUAGCCUCAAGUGAUGAUUAUUGGAGGUAGAGCACUGUUUGGACGAGGGGCCCCUCUCGGGUUACCGAAUUCAGACAAACUCCGAAUGCCAAAUAAUUUAACUUGGGAGUCAGAAUGUGGGUGAUAAGGUCCAUAUUCGAAAGGGAAACAGCCCAGACCACCAGCUAAGGUCCCAAAAUAUAUGUUAAGUGGAAAAGGAUGUGGCGUUGCCCAGACAACUAGGAUGUUGGCUUAGAAGCAGCCAUCAUUUAAAGAGUGCGUAAUAGCUCACUAGUCGAGUGACACUGCGCCGAAAAUGUACCGGGGCUAAACAUAUUACCGAAGCUGUGGAUUGUCCUUUGGACAAUGGUAGGAGAGCGUU
rnacentral:rRNA from 1 species